AUGCAGGCGGUGCCUUUCUAUAAAAUAGCUUUUGUUUUAAUUGUUGCCCCACUGUGGGGUGGUGCUGUGCCUGCCACAGAAGUCUAGGCCAACCAGUUGAUGGAGGCUUCCAGCAAGUGGCUCCUGGAUCCAUGUGUACUCCAGGAAUGUAAUGCAAUACUCCACCUUGAUCCUGUGCAUCCAGAGGCAGCCUCAAUGUGCCAAUUCCUAGGUGACGCUGAUGCAGUUGGCCCAGGCGCACAUUUGAGAACCACUGACCUAGAGUGUUUAUGACAGAAGAUCCCAACUUUGCUACACACACUGACUGAGCAGUCAAAGGCAUAUUAUUUAAGCUCUCUUUGCGUCCGCAACCUGGUAUUAAUUCGAUCCAGCAAGAAUAGAUGUGUCCUGUGUGGUGGGAAUCCAGACACACUUUCCUCCUUUAGUGAGUCAAUAGUUUAUUAGAAGAGGUAGAUAGUAAACAAAUAAAUUGCAACAAAAUAUCAUAAGGGCAACAAUAGAUUUAUGUAAAAUGCACAAAACUGGCAUGGGGAUUGGGAGCCAAGCCAGAUGAGAAGAGUAAUCAAACAUGGUCAAGACACAGGGUGUGAAUUAUGUUCUCUGAGUUGAAGGUGAUUCUACCAUUUACAAGCUAAGUGACUUCAACC
rnacentral:lncRNA from 10 species